rnacentral:rRNA from 1 species
AACGAACGCUGGCGGCAGGCCUAACACAUGCAAGUCGAGCGAGGACUUCGGUCCUAGCGGCGGACGGGUGAGUAACGCGUGGGAACGUGCCCUUUGCUACGGAAUAGCCCCGGGAAACUGGGAGUAAUACCGUAUGUGCCCUUAGGGGGAAAGAUUUAUCGGCAAAGGAUCGGCCCGCGUUGGAUUAGGUAGUUGGUGGGGUAAUGGCCUACCAAGCCGACGAUCCAUAGCUGGUUUGAGAGGAUGAUCAGCCACACUGGGACUGAGACACGGCCCAGACUCCUACGGGAGGCAGCAGUGGGGAAUCUUAGACAAUGGGCGCAAGCCUGAUCUAGCCAUGCCGCGUGAGCGAUGAAGGCCUUAGGGUUGUAAAGCUCUUUCAGGUGGGAAGAUAAUGACUGUACCACCAGAAGAAGCCCCGGCUAACUCCGUGCCAGCCGCCGCCGUAA